rnacentral:rRNA from 1 species
AGAGUUUGAUCAUGGCUCAGAUUGAACGCUGGCGGCAGGCCUAACACAUGCAAGUCGAACGGUAACAGGAAGAAGCUUGCUUCUUUGCUGACGAGUGGCGGACGGGUGAGUAAUGUCUGGGAAACUGCCUGAUGGAGGGGGAUAACUACUGGAAACGGUAGCUAAUACCGCAUAACGUCGCAAGACCAAAGAGGGGGACCUUCGGGCCUCUUGCCAUCGGAUGUGCCCAGAUGGGAUUAGCUAGUAGGUGGGGUAACGGCUCACCUAGGCGACGAUCCCUAGCUGGUCUGAGAGGAUGACCAGCCACACUGGAACUGAGACACGGUCCAGACUCCUACGGGAGGCAGCAGUGGGGAAUAUUGCACAAUGGGCGCAAGCCUGAUGCAGCCAUGCCGCGUGUAUGAAGAAGGCCUUCGGGUUGUAAAGUACUUUCAGCGGGGAGGAAGGGAGUAAAGUUAAUACCUUUGCUCAUUGACGUUACCCGCAGAAGAAGCACCGGCUAACUCCGUGCCAGCAGCCGCGGUAAUACGGAGGGUGCAAGCGUUAAUCGGAAUUACUGGGCGUAAAGCGCACGCAGGCGGUUUGUUAAGUCAGAUGUGAAAUCCCCGGGCUCAACCUGGGAACUGCAUCUGAUACUGGCAAGCUUGAGUCUCGUAGAGGGGGGUAGAAUUCCAGGUGUAGCGGUGAAAUGCGUAGAGAUCUGGAGGAAUACCGGUGGCGAAGGCGGCCCCCUGGACGAAGACUGACGCUCAGGUGCGAAAGCGUGGGGAGCAAGCAGGAUUAGAUACCCUGGUAGUCCACGCCGUAAACGAUGUCGACUUGGAGGUUGUGCCCUUGAGGCGUGGCUUCCGGAGCUAACGCGUUAAGUCGACCGCCAGGGGAGUACGGCCGCAAGGUUAAAACUCAAAUGAAUUGACGGGGGCCCGCACAAGCGGUGGAGCAUGUGGUUUAAUUCGAUGCAACGCGAAGAACCUUACCUGGUCUUGACAUCCACGGAAGUUUUCAGAGAUGAGAAUGUGCCUUCGGGAACCGUGAGACAGGUGCUGCAUGGCUGUCGUCAGCUCGUGUUGUGAAAUGUUGGGUUAAGUCCCGCAACGAGCGCAACCCUUAUCCUUUGUUGCCAGCGGUCCGGCCGGGAACUCAAAGGAGACUGCCAGUGAUAAACUGGAGGAAGGUGGGGAUGACGUCAAGUCAUCAUGGCCCUUACGACCAGGGCUACACACGUGCUACAAUGGCGCAUACAAAGAGAAGCGACCUCGCGAGAGCAAGCGGACCUCAUAAAGUGCGUCGUAGUCCGGAUUGGAGUCUGCAACUCGACUCCAUGAAGUCGGAAUCGCUAGUAAUCGUGGAUCAGAAUGCCACGGUGAAUACGUUCCCGGGCCUUGUACACACCGCCCGUCACACCAUGGGAGUGGGUUGCAAAAGAAGUAGGUAGCUUAACCUUCGGGAGGGCGCUUACCACUUUGUGAUUCAUGACUGGGAUGAAGUCGUAACAAGGUAACCGUAGGGGAACCUGCGGUUG